GAUGAACGCUGGCGGCGUGCCUAAUACACGCAAGUCGAGCGAACAGAUAAGGAGCUUGCUCCUUUGACGUUAGCGGCGGACGGGUGAGUAACACGUGGGUAACCUACCUAUAAGACUGGGAUAACUUCGGGAAACCGGAGCUAAUACCGGAUAACAUUUGGAACCGCAUGGUUCUAAAGUGAAUGAUGGUUUUGCUAUCACUUAUAGAUGGACCCGCGCCGUAUUAGCUAGUUGGUAAGGUAACGGCUUACCAAGGCGACGAUACGUAGCCGACCUGAGAGGGUGAUCGGCCACACUGGAACUGAGACACGGUCCAGACUCCUACGGGAGGCAGCAGUAGGGAAUCUUCCGCAAUGGGCGAAAGCCUGACGGAGCAACGCCGCGUGAGUGAUGAAGGGUUUCGGCUCGUAAAACUCUGUUAUUAGGGAAGAACAAACGUGUAAGUAACUGUGCACGUCUUGACGGUACCUAAUCAGAAAGCCACGGCUAACUACGUGCCAGCCGCCGCAGUAA
rnacentral:rRNA from 1 species